rnacentral:rRNA from 1 species
UACGAAGGGGACUAGCGUUGUUCGGAAUUACUGGGCGUAAAGCGCACGUAGGCGGCUUUGUAAGUCAGGGGUGAAAUCCCGGGGCUCAACCUCGGAACUGCCCUUGAUACUGCAAAUCUCGAGUCCGAUAGAGGCGGGUGGAAUUCCUAGUGUAGAGGUGAAAUUCGUAGAUAUUAGGAAGAACACCGGUGGCGAAGGCGGCCCACUGGAUCGGUACUGACGCUGAGGUGCGAAAGCGUGGGGAGCAAACAGG